AUCCAGCUAAUAAGUCCUAAAUAGGACGAAACGCACUUCGUCCUGUAU
rnacentral:hammerhead_ribozyme from 1 species